GUGGGAUAGAGUUGCCAUCGAAAAGCGGAAGUCCCCACCCAGCCUGGCAGGAACUUCCGGCCCCGAUUGCUUGGGUCUUCUGCGGCCUGAGUGGGGCGGCGGAGCCGGGAUGGUGCUGCUGGAGAGUGAGCAGUUCCUGACGGAGCUGACCAGGCUCUUCCAGAAGUGCCGGCUGUCGGGCAGCGUGUUCAUCACCCUCAAGAAGUACGAUGGCCGAACUAAACCCAUUCCGAGGAAGGGCUCAGUGGAGGGCUUCGAGCCCUCAGACAACAAGUGUCUGUUAAGAGCCACUGAUGGGAAAAAGAAGAUUAGCACAGUGGUGAGCUCCAAAGAAGUGAAUAAGUUUCAGAUGGUGAGUUUCUGCUGUUAUCUAUGUCCCUUUCUCAGGGCAAGUCAGCAUAACAUUGAACACUGGGUGAGCAUUGAUAUUUAGGUUCACCGAUUAAGAGCUGCCAGGCUAUGAAUUUUACUUUCAACACUGAUACUGUCUUCCUUUUAAGUUUUUAUAAGCUAGAUUUUGUCAUCUUAGGCUUCAGAUAUGCUCUGCCAAUAGUGAAGUUGAACAAGAAGUUGCCUAUAUUUAUGUUUUUGCUUAAAAAAAAAAAGAAGUGCAACUCACAGUGGAUGAGCAUUGCAGAAGCUGCUAAAAUGCUUAUUCAAACCUACUGAGAGCAAACAUGGACGGGCUGAAGAAGAGGGACAAAAAGAGCAAGAGUAAGAAGAGCAAAGCAGCACAGUGAAGGGCUCCAGAUUCCCUGCUUUCACCAACUAACCACCAAAUUGCUAUUUUUCCUUCGGUUUUUACUUUUGGCCACAAAACUAGGUUUCUGGUUCCCCUACAUUAACUGUUUUCAUGUGAGAUUAUGUUCGUUUUGGACGGAAGAAGAGCUGUGAUGUUUACAGGGUAGUUAUAGGAAGCCAGUUUAUUUUAGAUCUGGCUAAUUGGUCUGUGUUGCCUACUUGUGUAUUCCUGGAUUUUAGUUAUAGAAUCUGUAGGCAUCUGUGUGAAGAACAAUGCAUCAUUAAACCUGUCUAUUUAUCAGCA